AGUCGAGCGGGGAAGGGUAGCUUGCUACCUGACCUAGCGGCGGACGGGUGAGUAAUGCUUAGGAAUCUGCCUAUUAGUGGGGGACAACAUUCCGAAAGGAAUGCUAAUACCGCAUACGCCCUACGGGGGAAAGCAGGGGAUCUUCGGACCUUGCGCUAAUAGAUGAGCCUGAGUCAGAUUAGCUAGUUGGUGGGGUAAAGGCCUACCAAGGCGACGAUCUGUAGCGGGUCUGAGAGGAUGAUCCGCCACACUGGGACUGAGACACGGCCCAGACUCCUACGGGAGGCAGCAGUGGGGAAUAUUGGACAAUGGGCGAAAGCCUGAUCCAGCCAUGCCGCGUGUGUGAAGAAGGCCUUUUGGUUGUAAAGCACUUUAAGCGAGGAGGAGGCUACCGAGAUUAAUACUCUUGGAUAGUGGACGUUACUCGCAGAAUAAGCACCGGCUAACUCUGUGCCAGCAGCCGCGGUAAUACAGAGGGUGCGAGCGUUAAUCGGAUUUACUGGGCGUAAAGCGUGCGUAGGCGGCUUUUUAAGUCGGAUGUGAAAUCCCUGAGCUUAACUUAGGAAUUGCAUUCGAUACUGGGAAGCUAGAGUAUGGGAGAGGAUGGUAGAAUUCCAGGUGUAGCGGUGAAAUGCGUAGAGAUCUGGAGGAAUACCGAUGGCGAAGGCAGCCAUCUGGCCUAAUACUGACGCUGAGGUACGAAAGCAUGGGGAGCAAACAGGAUUAGAUACCCUGGUAGUCCAUGCCGUAAACGAUGUCUACUAGCCGUUGGGGCCUUUGAGGCUUUAGUGGCGCAGCUAACGCGAUAAGUAGANCGCCUGGGGAGUACGGUCGCAAGACUAAAACUCAAAUGAAUUGACGGGGGCCCGCACAAGCGGNGGNNCAUGUGGNUUUAAUUCGAUGCAACGCGAAG
rnacentral:rRNA from 1 species